rnacentral:rRNA from 1 species
CUACCAUGGCAGUCACGGGUAACGGAGAAUUAGGGUUCGAUUCCGGAGAAGGAGCCUGAGAAACGGCUACUACAACUACGGUUCGGCAGCAGGGAAGAAAAUUGGCCAAUCCUAAUUCAGGGAGCCAGUGACAAGAAAUAGCAAGCUGGGAAACUUAGUUUCUACGGCAUUGAAAUGAGAAAAGUGUAAAUCUCUUAGCGAGGAACAAUUGGAGGGCAAGUCAUGGUGCCAGCAGCCGCGGUAAUUCCAGCUCCAAUAGCGUAUAUUAAAGUUGUUGCAGUUAAAAAGCUCGUAGUUGAACUUCUAUUCAAGUUCAUUUCGACUCGUCGAGUGAAAUUGGAUAUACGUCUGCAAACUAAAAUCGGCCUUUACUGGUUCGACUUAGGGAGUAGACAUUUUACUGUGAAAAAAUUAGAGUGUUUCAGGCAGGUUUUAGCCCGAAUACAUUAGCAUGGAAUAAUGGAAUAGGACUAAGUCCAUUUUAUUGGUUCUUGGAUUUGGUAAUGAUUAAUAGGGGCAGUUGGGGGCAUUAGUAUUUAAUAGUCAGAGGUGAAAUUCUUGGAUUUAUUAAGGACUAACUAAUGCGAAAGCAUUUGCCAAAGAUGUUUUCAUUAAUCAAGAACGAAAGUUAGGGGAUC